UACGUAGGGUGCGAGCGUUAAUCGGAAUUACUGGGCGUAAAGCGUGCGCAGGCGGUUUUGUAAGCCAGAUGUGAAAGCCCCGGGCUUAACCUGGGAAUGGCAUUUGGGACUGCAAGGCUGGAGUGUGGCAGAGGAGACUGGAAUUCCUGGUGUAGCAGUGAAAUGCGUAGAUAUCAGGAGGAAUACCGAUGGCGAAGGCAGGUCUCGUGGGCUGACACUGACGCUCG
rnacentral:rRNA from 1 species